UCUAAGUCUUCCUGCUCAGUGAAANUAAACAGCCGCAGAAUUUUAUACUGUGCUAAGGUAGCAUAAUCACUUGUCUUUUAAUUAAAGAAUAGAAUGAACGGAAAAACGAAUUUUAGACUAUUUCAUUUUUAAUUAAUAAAAUUACCAAAAAGUAAAAACACUUUUUUACAAAAAAAAGACGAUAAGACCCUAAAGAACUUUACUAAAGUUAAGCUGGGGUGGCUUUUUAAAAAAAUCUUAUUUUUCAUCUUUAACACCUAUUUUUAUUAAAAUGUUACCUUAGGGAUAACAGCAUAAUUUAAUUUAACAGUUCUUAUUAAAAAUUAAGAUUAUGACCUCGAUGUUGAAUUAAAAUUCUACUAAAAGUAAAAAAUUAGUAAGAAAGUCUGUUCGACUUACAAAAAUUUACAUGAUUUGAGUUCAGACCGGUGUAAACCAGGUCGGUUUCUAUCUUUUUUAAUAAUGUGCCAGUACGAAAGGACCCUACGAUUUAUUAAUAAU
rnacentral:rRNA from 1 species